ensembl:lncRNA
GUGAAUGAGGUUCAGCUGAGAAGUCUAUCUGGCUCGUGAGCUCUAGCUCUGGUGGCAGUUCAGGUGUAGCUGUCCAGUGGACAAAUGGUAAUAAAGACAAAAAGAAGAGGAGGAAAAUAGAAAAAUCUUUACACAGCGGUCUGCCAUGUUUAUUGCUAAAUGAGUCCUUAACAGGUCACCGUAGCCACCAGAUCCAGUCUGUAUCCAAGUCAGAGGGUCACUGCAGUCACCCGGAUCCAGUAUGUAUCCA